UCAGGUUAUUCUGUGCUGCACUGUUACCUGCAUUACAAAUCUAACUGAAGGUGGGCACUACUGUAGCUUUGCUGUGCUUCCCGAACUCUGAGAAUCUUCAUUGUGAUUUCUUGUCCAAGUCAUGUGUUCACGUAUUUUCCUCUUUAUAUGUUAUAGUUCUGUCCUGUCUCUGGGCAGAUACUGUACAAGAUGCCAGUGGGGUAUGAAAGGAGAGCUGCCCAUCGAGAGUGUAGGAGAUGCCACGUGGCUUUCAUUGGGCUGGGCUGUGACCCCCUGAUCAUCAGUCUGUAGGAUGAGCUCCUGAGCCUGACCUCCAUCAGAGCUAAAACCUGCUAGAGCUGGGCAAACACCUCAGCUGGCAGCUCCAUGUUUCUCUGAGGCCUAGAAGAACCCAGGAAGCAAAAGUGGUGAAUCCAGAAAUGUGUGAAUUCCUCAAGAGGAUGCGGCUCAGACAAGAUGCUGGAGCUCACACUGCUUGUGUCACUGCUGUACAACUUACACAUGCUCCCAAUUUUCCUGUGAGGUUCUGUGAUUCCUGAAGUGCACCAGGGCCGAAGUCGGUGAAUCUUCAUUUAGGACUGGAAAUCUGACUUUACUGGACUCUUUAAAAGUACUUUGUUAAAUUACUUAUGCAAGCUCAAUGCAAAGCAAAACACUACAUCUACUUUUUGGAAUAAUUUUCACAUAUCUAGAACCAAAGUUUAAAUUAUUUUUAAGUUAUUGAUUAAGUUAUUGAAAUAUUUAAGAUAUUGCUUAAUAUAUUUUAUUGUAGUAAUAAAGUCCUUCAAUUACCAAAUUAAUAUUUCCCAAGUAAAAUCUGGUAAGUCCUAAGUGAAGAGUGGAUUGCUGCCCACAGUUGAUAGUUUAAUAGCGGAAACACUAUUUAAUUUUAUUAUUAUUCAAAUUUAUGUUCAGUUUUCUCAAUUUGCAUAAAAAUACUAUAAAUCACUUAUAUGGAAAAAGUAUUAUCCUGGAAUAUUUCUAAUGAUUUAAAAUAGCUGAGUGAGGCAAAAUCUUGGCAAGCCCAUAGCAGGGAACACAACUAGGCUGAACACAGUUACAGUACAAUGAAAAAUGUUUAUUUUCUCCAGCUUAGUUUCUGUGCAAGAAUUUGUGGACCCUUAAGUAGGGAUCAGAGUCUUUCCUUCUUCAAUCUACUCAUGUAAAGGAGUAACCAUUUUCUUUUAUGUGUAUGUAUUUUUUUUUGAGCUGAUUUGCCCACGUGUUCUGUAACAGAAACCUUUUUUAAGGGUGAGUUCAAGCUCCUCUUUGGCACCUUUGAAAAUUGCUGCUGAAAGAAUGCUAUUCCUGUAGCCACCUUUUGCCCAUGUGUAUGUAUAAAUUACUAAUUCAGCUGAAGAAAAUGUGCUAAAUCACUCUGCUUUCUCAAUAGAGGGCCAGAGUAAGGAAAUAGAUUGAGCAGCAUGGAUGUUUAUAAAUGAGCACCAUUUCAGAUCAAUGAAAGGGAAAGUGACAAACCCAAUGAUUCAUUAAGAAAAAUCUGUUUUCAUCCUUAUUUUGUGUGUGUGAACUCAAGUACUGAUAUCUGCAGUUGUUGCAGCAGAAGUAGGUAGCUUUCAGGCCAUUUAGUGGUUUUAGGUUAAAGUGAACACCCUAAUCUUUUUCCAUUCUUAAAAGAUAGCCAGAGUAGGGAAAGGAAUAUCAAUUUAUUUUCCUCCCUGAAAAAUACUCAGCAUAAGAAACAACCUAUUGAUACCAUGUGUAACUUUGGACAAGAAGGUAUCAAUGUCUGGUGUAUAUCUGAGGUGCAUCAUGAAGUUGGCACUGUUUGUACUGGAAAAGAGGGAAACAAAUGCUCUGGCUGCUUGGCAAAGUCAGAGGGAAUUGUUAUGGAUGUGUAAAGCACAUAGGAGAGCUCAGCUGAGCUGCUGCCCUCAGAGGGGUGAAACUUCUGCCACUCUAAAAGCACUGACACUGUUCAGCCAAAGUUACCCAGGGCUCAUUCAGACCUUCCUCGUGCUUUUCAACCACCAGAAUUUGGAAGGAGAGCUAAUUAAAAAUGUACAAAGGUUCAUGUCUAACUUUAUUGUAAAUGCAACUGUGACACAAUUUUUCAGGUGAAACCUACAAUGGAAGGGAAGAAAACAUGCAUUUCAAAUGAAGUAGCUCUGCACUCAGAAUGAAAAGCAGGAGAGAUCUUGACUAGGCAAAUUAACCUACCUACCCAUCUAUUGUGUGCUGAAAAAAUUAUUUUUAGCAUGCCUGUGACACGUUUGAUAAUUACUUUUCUCUGUAGUCAAAGGCUCUAUUUAACAAAGCAGAGAUGAAAUGGGGAGUUCAGCAUGAAGGGAGAGGUGCCUGUGUAAUCAUCUUUAUCUUGCUCAUAUUAAUGUCCUGGGAAUGCAUUGCCUCAGAACCUAUAGUUACCCUCUGAAAGCAGAGCAGAAAUAAUUACCUGUAUUGAGUGCUUGUUAGUACCCAGAAUAAUAAAGUUUAAAAUCACUUGUGAAGGAUUUGGUCCCAAUAGGUGCUUAGUAGGCUGCAGAACCAGAAAAAUGGCAUGUAAGUGUGGCUACCUGCUUUCACAGGUAGCUUCUCCUUCUUUUCCACACAGACAUCAUUUAAUGCUAAGAUGCUGUAGAAUUUCCUGAGCUGAGUGCUGUAUCUGUUGGGCAGGUCAGCCUGGAUUGCUCCCAGAACCCAAAGGAUAAGACUUGUUGGAGAAUUGUUAGGACUCUGGCAUUGGGGCAGUUUCUGUAUUGAGCUAACACAGUGCUGAAAGCUAACACAGCAACCAAAGGCCAUUCAGAGCAUCUUCUUAUGUUUGGUUGCUUGCAAAAGAAAAGAUCAUCUUAGAGGGGAAAAAAACAUGUAACGUCCAAAACAAGAUAAACCUCAGUAAUUCACAGAAAACUAUCAAAUUAGUGGAACCUCAUUUAAAAAUCAGCAUGAGUUUUAUAUAAUUUCAUAGGCUUUGUCCAUUUAGGCUUUUUUUUUUUAAUUAACAUCUUUCAAGUAAAGUACUGAAAAAUACUUUGACUCGAGAGUUUUGGAAUGAAAUGACAAAUUCAGUGUGUAAUUUGUCAGCAACUGGGAAUAGAAUUUCUCCAGUCCCAUUUUGCUGAGGGCAUUUUCUCUAUUGUUCGUCUCUUUCUGAUCAUCUCGACUACCUGUGAAAGGAAAAAAAUCUAUAUUUUUAUUACUUUCACUGAAGAAAUUGAGUGACAGGGCUUUUUUCCAUGACUGACUGCUGAG